UACGAAGGGUGCAAGCGUUACUCGGAAUUACUGGGCGUAAAGCGUGCGUAGGCGGUUUGUUAAGUCUGUCGUGAAAGCCCCGGGCUCAACCUGGGAAUGGCAAUGGAUACUGGCAAGCUAGAGUGCGGUAGAGGGUAGUGGAAUUCCCGGUGUAGCGGUGAAAUGCGUAGAGAUCGGGAGGAACACCAGUGGCGAAGGCGGCUACCUGGACCAGCACUGACACUGAGGCACGAAAGCGUGGGGAGCAAACAGG
rnacentral:rRNA from 1 species